GGUCUCACACCCUCCAAUGGGUACACAGCUGCGACCUGGACUCGGACUGCAGCCUCCUCAGUGGGUAUGAACAUACCCUAUGACGGCGCCAGUUACCUCGUCCGAAACCAGGAACUGCGCUCCUGGACUGCAGCGGACAAGGCGGCUCAGAUGCCCUGGCGGAGGAACAUGCAGAGCUGCUCGAAACCUACCUGCAGGGAAGGUGGGCGGAGUGGCUCAGCAAAGUCCUUAAGAAUGGGAAGGAGAGGCUGCAGUGCCCAGAACCCCAAAAGACUCACAUGACCCACCACCCCAUCUCUGACCAUGAGGCCACCCUGAGGUGCUGGGCUCUGGGCUUCUACCCUGUGGAGAUCACACUGACCCAGUAGUGGGAUGGAUAGGACCAAAUGUAGGAUGCAGAGGUUGUGGAGACCACACCUGCAGGGUACAGAACCUUCCAGAAGUGGGCAGCUGUGGUGGUGUCUUCUGGAGAGGAGCAGAGAUACACAUGCCAUGUGCAGCACGAUGGGCUGCCAGAGCUCCUCACCCUGAGAUGGCUGUCUUCCCAGCCCACCAUCCCCAUCAUGGGCAUCGUUACUGUCCUGGUUGUUCUUGGUGCUGUUUUCACCAGAGCUGUGGUCACUGCUGUGAUGUGGAAGAGUAAGAGCCCAGGUAGGAAAGGGGUGAGCUCCGAGUUUUCUUCUUCCAUUGAUGGAAAAGGAGUCAGCUAUGCUCAGGCUUCAUGCAAGGACAGUACCCAGGGCUCUGAUGUGUCUCUCAAGGCUUGUAAAAUG
rnacentral:lncRNA from 1 species